CAAGAAGGCUCCACUAUGAAAGAGCACAAAUGGGACCCACCCCUCUUAUCAAGACCAAGGGGCUCACAGAGCAAAACAGAGGCCCUUUGUGAAAUCAGAAGACUGAUUAGGGAUCAUCUGCUGUGUGGCUGGAGUUUUCACAUCCAUGAGCUUUCUUGAGUUUCCCAACUUCCCAGUGAAUCAUUGAACCUGUGGAGAAGGCUGUUGGCACUUGCCAAAUAACGCAUAGACAUCCCCCUACAAUCCUUGCAGAUGAGAAAAUGUGACCUUCUGGACGUGAAGUGAUAUACUCAAGGCCAUCCAACUAGGAAAUGGAAGCUCAAGGACAGUGACCAGGAAUGGAGAACCCUUUGCUGAACGUGUGGGGCGUGCGGGUGUGCCCAGCUGUGCCCAGGAGCUAAAAGGAGAUAAAAGCAGAGGAGGGACCAGAAACCUGAAGUCUCUUAAUUGAGAGGGGAUUUAGAAUGGUAAGACAGGGAACUGAGAGGGGCUGGGGAGGCCGUCAUGGACGGAAAACAGCAGGGAAAGGAGUCAGCAGUGUGGGAGGAUGUGGCCAGCGAGAAAUUCUUCCUGCGAGGGAUUUUAGGAUUAUACCGGAUUUUAGGAUAAUAUUCAAGUUGAGGCUGUCGCCUGUCCUGUGUGAUGUGCAAUAACCACCCAUCAUUGCUCUAAACUUUCAGUCACAGUCUGUUACAUACAGAGCCUCGUGUGUGUGAUAAUCUGGGGCAGAGAAGUAAUCAGGCUGGUGUCCAACGUGGAGAUGGGACAGUGGGUGGCUGUGGGAAAAAAAAAGGGGGUGUGGAGGAGACAUGGGAAGAAAAGAUAGCUCGAGGGUGAGCACUCAGAGGAAGUAGGAGAUAAGAACAAAGGCUGGCUAGGAGAAAUGCAGAUAUCUAGAUUAGGAUGUCAAUUAAGCAGGCUUAGCCCAGUAGGCUGGCAAGGCUAGGGUCUUCAGGGUUGCCAUCUGGCUUACAUUUGGGGGCUGAGAUCGGAUAAUCUGGACUCUUUGGAAGACCCUCUGCAGCUUGGGCUAACCACCAAGCUAGUGUUGACACAGAAUGGUGUCCUCACAGCACUGAGACCAGUCCCAGGCUGGGCAGACCCUUAGAGCAGAGUCAGAAGGAAAUUGUGCAAACAAGCUUGGGGUGUGGAAUCCCCCAGUUUGAGCCUGGGUGCUGCAGACAGAGUGCCAGGGCACCUGCAGCACUGAGAGAACUUUCUAGAGGCUUUUAGCCGAACAAAUCUGCUGAGGGUAUGGA